rnacentral:rRNA from 1 species
GAUGAACGCUGGCGGCGUGCCUAAUACAUGCAAGUCGAGCGAACAGACGAGGAGCUUUCUCCUCUGACGUUAGCGGCGGACGGGUGAGUAACACGUGGAUAACCUACCUAUAAGACUGGGAUAACUUCGGGAAACCGGAGCUACUACUGGCUCAUAUAUUCAACCGCAUGGUUCAAUAGUUCAAGACGGUUUUGCUGUCACUUAUAGAUGGAUCCGCGUCGCAUUAGCUAGUUGGUAAGGUAACGGCUUACCAAGGCAACGAUGCGUAGCUGACCUGAGAGGGGGAUCGGCAAACCGGGAACUGAGAAACGGUCCAGACCCCUACGGGAGGCAGCAGUAGGGAAUCUUCCGCAAUGGGCGAAAGCCUGACGGAGCAACGCCGCGUGAGUGAUGAAGGUCUUCGGAUCGUAAAACUCUGUUAUUAGGAAAGAACAAAUGUGUAAGUAACUAUGCACGUCUGGACGGUACCUAAGCAGAAAGCCACGGCUAACUACGU